UACGGGGGGGGCAAGCGUUGUUCGGAAUUACUGGGCGUAAAGGGCCAGUAGGCGACCAACUAAGUCCGACGUGAAAUCCCAAGGCUUAACCUUGGAACUGCGUCGGAUACUGGAUGGCUUGAAUUCGGGAGAGGGAUGCAGAAUUCCAGGUGUAGCGGUGAAAUGCGUAGAUAUCUGGAGGAAUACCGGUGGCGAAGGCGGCAUCCUGGACCGAGAUUGACACUGAUGAGCGAAAGCUAGGGGAGCAAACGGG
rnacentral:rRNA from 1 species